ACCACAUGUAUUCAGGGUUUCUUUACAGUUUUUGCCCGUUGCUUGAACACUAUAAACCCAUGCUCAGACUAAAGUAACACAACGUGAAGCUUUUGUUACCAUACCUCAAACACAUGUACCCAUACCUUAAACAAAAGCGCUGCUUUGCACCCCAGUACCAAUUAUGCAACACUCCUACUCCUUUAUGCAACACACCUACCCCUUUAUGCAACACACAUGGUCCUGCAUGCUACACUCUAUUUCAUACAUAAGACACUUCGCUCACAAAAUGAAAUCUCAGGGUGCCAUUCGGAAAACACAUGUAUCCAAAAUACAAAACACAUCGGGUAAUUGCAACCACUCAAAUACACACCUGAAGGCACGUACUUGCAAAACUGAACACCAAUUAGCCAACUACAAAAAGCCCUCAGCGUAGCCAUUUCAAGAACUUUGCAAGCAUGGAUGGAGGGAGAGCAAGAGGAAGAGGAAGAGGAGGAGAAGGCCGAAGAGGCCAUGAACGGACCCAUAUUUCUGAUGAAAUAAGAGCAACUUUGGUGGACCAUGUCAUCAACCAUGGCCUGACUAUGAGGGAAGCUGGGCAGAGAGUCCACCCACAUCUAAGCCGCUUCACAGUGGCAUCUGUAAUACGAACAUUCCGACUAGAAAACAGAAUGACCCGAAGACCUUCUGGGGGAGGACGGCAACGCCUGUUCACACAACAGCAGGAACUUGCCGUUGUGGACCUAGUGAGGGCAGACAAUGCCAUCCGUCACCAGGUUUGUGGUGAUAUGGGAUCAUGUCAGUUUCCAUCGGGCUGCUCUGGUCUAGGCCUGGUUCUCCAACCACAAUCAAUUUGAAGUGGUAUACUUGCCCCCUUACUCACCAUUUUUAAACCCUAUUGAGGAUUUUUUUAGGCUUGGAGAUGACGUGUAUAUGACCGCCAACCACAUGCCCGC
ensembl:lncRNA